CCUACGGUUGGCAGCAGUGAGGAAUAUUGGUCAAUGGGCGGGAGCCUGAACCAGCCAAGUCGCGUGAGGGAAGACGGUCCUACGGAUUGUAAACCUCUUUUGCCGGGGAGCAACGGGGUCGUUGCGUGGGCCCAAUGAGAGUACCCGGAGAAAAAGCAUGGGCUAACUCCGUGCCAGCAGCCGCGGUAAUACGGGGGAUGCGGGCGUUAUCCGGAUUUAUUGGGUUAAAGGGGUGCGUAGGCGGGCUGUUAAGUCAGCGUUCAAAUGUCGGGGCUCAACCCCGGCCGGCCGUUGAAACUGGCGGCCUCGAGUGGGCGAGAAGUAUGCGGAAUGCGUGGUGUAGCGGUGAAAUGCAUAGAUAUCACGCAGAACUCCGAUUGCGAAGGCAGCAUACCGGCGCCCUACUGACGCUGAGGCACGAAAGCGUGGGUAUCGAACAGGAUUAGAUACCCGGGUAGUC
rnacentral:rRNA from 1 species